GACGGAGGGUGCAAGCGUUAUCCGGAAUGAUUGGGCGUAAAGCGUCCGCAGGUGGCAGUUCAAGUCUGCUGUCAAAGACCGGGGCUUAACUUCGGAAAGGCAGUGGAAACUGAACAGCUAGAGUAUGGUAGGGGCAGAGGGAAUUCCUGGUGUAGCGGUGAAAUGCGUAGAGAUCAGGAAGAACAUCGGUGGCGAAGGCGCUCUGCUGGACCAUAACUGACACUCAGGGACGAAAGCUAGGGGAGCGAAUGGG
rnacentral:rRNA from 1 species